GAUGAACGCUGGCGGCGUGCCUAAUACAUGCAAGUCGAGCGAACAGACGAGGAGCUUGCUCCUCUGACGUUAGCGGCGGACGGGUGAGUAACACGUGGAUAACCUACCUAUAAGACUGGGAUAACUUCGGGAAACCGGAGCUAAUACCGGAUAAUAUAUUGAACCGCAUGGUUCAAUAGUGAAAGACGGUUUUGCUGUCACUUAUAGAUGGAUCCGCGCCGCAUUAGCUAGUUGGUAAGGUAACGGCUUACCAAGGCGACGAUGCGUAGCCGACCUGAGAGGUGGAUCGGCCACACUGGAACUGAGACACGGUCCAGACUCCUACGGGAGGCAGCAGUAGGGAAUCUUCCGCAAUGGGCGAAAGCCUGACGGAGCAACGCCGCGUGAGUGAUGAAGGUCUUCGGAUCGUAAAACUCUGUUAUUAGGGAAGAACAAAUGUGUAAGUAACUAUGCACGUCUUGACGGUACCUAAUCAGAAAGCCACGGCUAACUACGUG
rnacentral:rRNA from 1 species